rnacentral:rRNA from 1 species
AGAUUGAACGCUGGCGGCAUGCCUAACACAUGCAAGUCGAACGGGAGUAGCAAUACUCUAGUGGCGGACGGGUGAGGAAUACGUAGGAAUUUGCCCUUAAGUGGGGGAUAACCCGGGGAACCCGGAUUAAUACCGCAUGACCUCGAAAGAGCAAAGUGGGGGAUCGCAAGACCUCACGCUUUUGGAGAAGCCUACGUCGGAUUAGCUAGUUGGUGAGGUAAUGGCUCACCAAGGCGACGAUCCGUAACUGGUCUGAGAGGAUGAUCAGUCACACCGGAACUGAGACACGGUCCGGACUCCUACGGGAGCAGCAGUGGGGAUAUUGGACAAUGGGCGCAAGCCUGAUCCAGCAAUGCCGCGUGUGUGAAGAAGGCCUUCGGUUGUAAAGCUAACGUUUAAGGUUAGGGAAGAAAAAACUCGACUACUAAACACAGUGAGUCGUUAGACGGUACCGACAAGAAUAAGACACCGGACUAACCUCU